CUGCUGCCUUCCGUAGGAGUCUGGGCCGUAUCUCAGUCCCAAUGUGGCCGGCCAACCUCUCAGUCCGGCUACUGAUCGUCGCCUUGGUGGGCCGUUACCUCACCAACUAGCUAAUCAGACGCGAGGCCAUCUUCCAGCGAUAAAUCUUUGACGUCGGAGUCAUGCGGCUCCAACGCAUCAUGCGGUAUUAGCGGUCGUUUCCAACUGUUGUCCCCCUCUGGAAGGCAGGUUCCUCACGCGUUACU
rnacentral:rRNA from 1 species